rnacentral:lncRNA from 1 species
AAAUAAUUAUCUAAACAUAAAAACCUAAAAAUAAAAACAUAAAAACUAUAAAUAAAAUAGCAUGCAAUAAUAUCAGACAGUAACUAGCAUAAGACAAAUUCCAAUACACAAAUCAUCUAUGAAUAGCCCUGUCAAGCCUCACCCAACCCCGGGUGAGGAGUAUGAAGAACUCUAGGGGGCCCUAUCCCACAACCCUUAUACUAGAC